AGAUAUAGGGCGGGUAGUGGAGGUGCUCUGUCGCCUCCUCUCUUCUCCGAUGAGAAAAACCAAAAGUGAGAGGGAGAGGGGAAAAAGAUAGUCGUUACUUGCUCGCUACCCCGUCUCGCAGCCGCGGCGCAUGCAAGCAAAUCUCGUGGACGGGGCUUUGGGGGCGCUCGAUCCGCGGAGGAAACCCUAGGUUGGUGCAUUCGGGAGCUGCGUGUCGAGAUGCAGAACGCCGAGACGCUCUCCCUCACGUCACCGCGCUCGCCCACGGGGGGCACCACCUCCGCGCCGCUGCAGCAGUACGACCAGCAGCAGCAGGAACGGCGGGCCGCGGCCGCCAACUCGAGGGCAGGCGGCGGUGGAGCUCCGGUGAGGCAAUACUGCGGCGGCAUUCCGGGAAGGCCGUCAAGCUUAACGAAGGAAUUGAAAUCCAGGAAGUCUUACAUGCUAGCAAUUUGGUUUUAGCUGGCUAUCUCAAAUGAUGGGAUGCGGAAAGAAGAAGAUUAAAGAGGAAAACAAAAGAUGAAGAGGAGCAGAUAUAUACCUGUAGGAAGUUGGUGACACUGUUCAACAGUGUGGGCAGCGCCCGGCUGGCAACGACAGCAUCGACCUCAAUGGAGAGAUCCUGGUACCUGACCUCGAUGGCUGGGAGCUCGAUGCCAACCGCAUCCACCCGCUCCCUGAGCGUCCUGAGGAACUGCUCGCUGUCAUCCUGAAAGACGCGCUCCAGCAGGGCGCGGCCAGCUUCCCCGCUGGCGAGGUGCUGGAUGUCCACCAGGCCCGUGCCUUCCUCAUUGUGGGUGUGGAGCUCAUGGUCGUGGUCGUCACGGAGGACAGCCCGGCGCAUGCGGUCAUAGGUGGGAAGCUUCUCGAGGGCCGCCCAGCGGAGGUUCUCCUCGUCGUCCUGGUCAUGCCGGGAUGCGGCGCGCUGGAAGGGGUCAUCCGUGUCCGGCUGCCGGAGCGAGCGUGCGAUGGAUGAGCUCCAGCUCGUGUUGCUGCGGCGGCUGCCGGACAGUGCCCCCGGCAAGCCCCCUAACCCGACGCUUGCCAUGUCUACCUUUCCUCUAGUGCUAGCGAGCUAGGUGUUCAAGAGAAGCAGCUGGGAUUGAUGUCAGCUGGGAUUGUUGUUGCAUGUGCAAACGUUAGAUAUGGUUGUGCAUGUUAAAACGAUGGAUCUCCUGGCUUUGCUUUAUACUCUGCUUCCACUGAUCUUCUAGAUGGCCUGAAUAAACUCAGGGUCGUCAACGGUCGUCCCUCUUGCCGUGGAGGUCCGUUACUCCGAUCGACUAGUCAAGCCCGCCCCGUGCUUCACCUUACUGUUAGCCAAUUAGGCAAGUCAGACUUGUAGGCUGCAUGCUAUGUUUUCUCGGAAUCUUCCAAAUGUAGUAUAACUAUUUUCUCCGUUUAAAAUUGUUCCUUGCCCUCGCU